GGUUAAGCGACUAAGCGUACACGGUGGAUGCCUAGGCAGUCAGAGGCGAUGAAGGGCGUGCUAAUCUGCGAAAAGCGUCGGUAAGGUGAUAUGAACCGUUAUAACCGACGAUACCCGAAUGGGGAAACCCAGUGCAAUUCGUUGCACUAUUGCAUGGUGAAUACAUAGCCAUGCAAGGCGAACCGGGGGAACUGAAACAUCUAAGUACCCCGAGGAAAAGAAAUCAACCGAGAUUCCCCUAGUAGCGGCGAGCGAACGGGGAGGAGCCCAGAGUCUGAAUCAGUUUGUGUGUUAGUGGAAGCGUCUGGAAAGUCGCAGGGUACAGGGUGAUACUCCCGUACACAAAAACACACUUGCUGUGAACUCGAUGAGUAGGGCGGGACACGUGACAUCCUGUCUGAAUAUGGGGGGACCAUCCUCCAAGGCUAAAUACUCCUGACUGACCGAUAGUGAACCAGUACCGUGAGGGAAAGGCGAAAAGAACCCCGGCGAGGGGAGUGAAAUAGAACCUGAAACCGUGUACGUACAAGCAGUGGGAGCACCUUCGUGGUGUGACUGCGUACCUUUUGUAUAAUGGGUCAGCGACUUAUAUUUUGUAGCAAGGUUAACCGAAUAGGGGAGCCGUAGGGAAACCGAGUCUUAACUGGGCGUCUAGUUGCAAGGUAUAGACCCGAAACCCGGUGAUCUAGCCAUGGGCAGGUUGAAGGUUGGGUAACACUAACUGGAGGACCGAACCGACUAAUGUUGAAAAAUUAGCGGAUGACUUGUGGCUGGGGGUGAAAGGCCAAUCAAACCGGGAGAUAGCUGGUUCUCCCCGAAAGCUAUUUAGGUAGCGCCUCGUGAACUCAUCUUCGGGGGUAGAGCACUGUUUCGGCUAGGGGGCCAUCCCGGCUUACCAAACCGAUGCAAACUCCGAAUACCGAAGAAUGUUAUCACGGGAGACACACGGCGGGUGCUAACGUCCGUCGUGAAGAGGGAAACAACCCAGACCGCCAGCUAAGGUCCCAAAGUCAUGGUUAAGUGGGAAACGAUGUGGGAAGGCAUAGACAGCCAGGAUGUUGGCUUAGAAGCAGCCAUCAUUUAAAGAAAGCGUAAUAGCUCACUGGUCGAGUCGGCCUGCGCGGAAGAUGUAACGGGGCUAAACCAUGCACCGAAGCUGCGGCAGCGACACUCAGGUGUUGUUGGGUAGGGGAGCGUUCUGUAAGCCGUUGAAGGUGACCUGUGAGGGUUGCUGGAGGUAUCAGAAGUGCGAAUGCUGACAUAAGUAACGAUAAUGCGGGUGAAAAACCCGCACGCCGGAAGACCAAGGGUUCCUGUCCAACGUUAAUCGGGGCAGGGUGAGUCGACCCCUAAGGCGAGGCUGAAAAGCGUAGUCGAUGGGAAACAGGUUAAUAUUCCUGUACUUGGUGUUACUGCGAAGGGGGGACGGAGAAGGCUAGGCUAGCCGGGCGACGGUUGUCCCGGUUUAAGCAUGUAGGCGGAGCGACUUGGUAAAUCCGGUUGCUUAUCAACGCUGAGGUGUGAUGACGAGUCACUACGGUGAUGAAGUAGUUGAUGCCAAGCUUCCAGGAAAAGCCUCUAAGCAUCAGGUAACAUUAAAUCGUACCCCAAACCGACACAGGUGGUCAGGUAGAGAAUACUCAGGCGCUUGAGAGAACUCGGGUGAAGGAACUAGGCAAAAUGGUGCCGUAACUUCGGGAGAAGGCACGCUGGCAUUAGGUAA
rnacentral:rRNA from 1 species